CCUACGGGAGGCAGCAGUGGGGAAUUUUGGACAAUGGGCGAAAGCCUGAUCCAGCAAUGCCGCGUGUGGGAAGAAGGCCUUCGGGUUGUAAACCACUUUUGUACGGAACGAAACGGUUCGCUUUAAUACAGUGGGCUAAUGACGGUACCGUAAGAAUAAGCACCGGCUAACUACGUGCCAGCAGCCGCGGUAAUACGUAGGGUGCGAGCGUUAAUCGGAAUUACUGGGCGUAAAGCGUGCGCAGGCGGUUAUAUAAGACAGUUGUGAAAUCCCCGGGCUCAACCUGGGAAUUGCAUCUGUGACUGUAUAGCUAGAGUACGGUAGAGGGGGAUGGAAUUCCGCGUGUAGCAGUGAAAUGCGUAGAUAUGCGGAGGAACACCGAUGGCGAAGGCAAUCCCCUGGACCUGUACUGACGCUCAUGCACGAAAGCGUGGGGAGCAAACAGGAUUAGAUACCCUGGUAGUCCACGCCCUAAACGAUGUCAACUGGUUGUUGGGUGCAUUAGUACUCAGUAACGAAGCUAACGCGUGAAGUUGACCGCCUGGGGAGUACGGCCGCAAGGUUGAAACUCAAAGGAUUGACCGGNUGAGAGNGCGAGAGACGACGAGGAGAG
rnacentral:rRNA from 1 species